UCCACCGCUGCGAUGCAGUCGGGGUGCAGCGGCCGACCGGCCGGGUCGGUGCUGGAGAAGGCGAUGCGCAGGCGCCCCGGUUCGCGGCCGAGCUGGUCGAG
rnacentral:tRNA from 1 species